GGUUAUGGCUCAGUGGUAGUGUACUUGCUUAGCAUGCGUGAGGCACUGAGUUCGAUUCUCAGCACCA
rnacentral:tRNA from 1 species